UCUAUAAUCUCUUUUCGAAGCAAAUGAAUUUUCAAAAAUACGAGUUUUCCCGUGAAGUUGUAGAAAUGGCUUGGAUUAUCCUCAGGAUUGAUUACUCAAGGCUAUUCUGGCUCUUGUUUGGUGUAUUUUCAUACGAAAAUCACGAAGGGAAACCUCGGAUUUUCUAGCAUCUGUUCCUGUCUUAAUUUGCAGCAAAAUCUAUAUAUUAUAUAUUAUAUUUAAAGAAUUAAGUAAAAAUCUAUAAUAUUAGUCAUAAGCAAUAAUCUCAAGUUGAAGGAGUGCAAUUUUAAUUUCUCUACCAUGUACAAACCCCGGGCAGUGGAAGCCAUUGCUGGAGAAAAUCUGCUGUUAGACUAUGUAGAAACGGAUCCAUCUGGACGAUAUGGACGGGUAUGUUUCGAAUUUCAAUUUAAUUUUGUAGGCAUGAAUUUUAUUGAUUAUAUUUCAUAAUUAUCUGAUUUUGGGUAUUCAGUAAUGCUUAAAAGUAAUUUUUUUUAAUUGUUUCUCUUGACAACACAAGUUCUAAAUACAGUCAAAUAUGCU
rnacentral:lncRNA from 1 species